rnacentral:rRNA from 1 species
UACGGAGGGGGCUAGCGUUGUUCGGAAUUACUGGGCGUAAAGCGCACGUAGGCGGCUUUGUAAGUUAGAGGUGAAAGCCUGGAGCUCAACUCCAGAAUUGCCUUUAAGACUGCAUCGCUUGAAUCCAGGAGAGGAGAGUGGAAUUCCUGGUGUAGCGGUGAAAUGCGCAGAUAUCAGGAAGAACACCCGUGGCGAAGGCGGCUCUCUGGAACGCAACUGACGCUGAGACGCGAAAGCGUGGGGAGCGAACCGG